AAACCAAACCUUUAAAAAAAAACCAAUUUUAAACAAAAAAAAUCCAAACCAAACCAAAUUUAUUUUAUAAUUUGGUUUUAAGUCCAAUCCAUUUAAACGGUUUUAAUCCAAAUCCGGAUCCAGAUCCAGAUUAAAAUCCAAAUCUCACAAAACCCUAAUUCUUAACUUUUGAUUCUCAAAAAAUCCAGUUCCAGAGCACCGUCACGAUUCAUGAAUCCUUUUCUCCUUCGCCCGCAGCCGCCAGCCGGCACCGCCACACCGGAGCAGGCUUCUGGCACUGCAGUUUUGUAGCUGCCACCACCACCACAAGCGCGUCGCGCCACUGCUCUGUUCCGCCAUCCGCGGUUCCACCGUCCGCCUUUUCUCGCCGUGACCCAGCUCUGUUCUUCUCCGUUCUCUGGGUACCCUCAAGCAAGGUUGUGUGGUUGUCCUUUGGUCAAGUGUUGACGAUGAUUUCUCAGAAGUAGAAGGCUAUCUUGAGGGAAGUUUAUAAGAAGAAGAAGUACACGUCAAGCUCUUGAUCUCCACCCUAAGAAGUAAGAAGACAGAGCCAUUCGCAGAGGCUCACCAAGCACCAUGUAUUUGCCUUGCCUUGUGUUUAAAUUUUUUAAUUAGCUUUGAAUUUUGUUCCUGUUCAUUCAUCAUGCUACUCUGUUGUUGAGACAUUGCACCAGGUUUCUAGUUCUAGCAUACUGUUAAAGCAUAGGAUAUUUCACUUUGCUAAUGGUUUAUUGCUGAGGAUACAACACAUCAAAGUUCAUUGUUUGUUUACUGGGGAAGGGAUGCAAGUAUGAUUUUAUUAGGGAAUAGUUUAUAGUUGAUAGUUGCUUUUUAGCAGUAUUUUAUUCCCUGCCAAAGCUAAACAGAAAUAUAUGGAUGCAAAUUGUAAAAUUUUUAGUAAUGGUUAACAAUGGAUUUCCAGGUUUUUUGUGAUUUAAGACCAAGAGAAUUAUACUAAGAGAAAUCAGCUACUAAGAAUAAGGGUUAGGGUAGUUAGAAGCUCAAUCAUAUGAUAUAUAAACUGAAAUUAUGAAGCUGUAUUGGUUGAGUUUGUGUUGCUGGAUUUGUGCUUGAUUAUGUUAUGGCGAAUGUUUAAUUGAUCUUCUGAAUAUGUGAUUUUAUCUAUAUAUAUGCUUUUGUAGUUUUGCCUUUUGUUGUUGUUCAUUAUUUUUUUAUUUAUUUGUGUUUGCUUUAAAAAUAUAAUUGAACCUUGAAGAUUAUUUUACUAUCCGUGAAA